rnacentral:rRNA from 1 species
UCGAGAAUCUUCGUCAAUGGGCGAAAGCCUGAACGAGCGACGCCGCGUGCGGGAUGAAGGCCUUUGGGUUGUAAACCGCUGUCGAGGGGGAUGAAGGCUUGAAAGUCAUCUUUCAAGUUUGACAGAGCCCUGGAGGAAGCACGGGCUAAGUUCGUGCCAGCAGCCGCGGUAAUACGAACUGUGCGAACGUUAUUCGGAAUCACUGGGCUUACAGGGUGCGUAGGCGGCUUUUCAAGUCAGGUGUGAAAGCCCCCGGCUCAACCGGGGAAUUGCGCUUGAAACUGGAGAGCUCGAGUCAGCUAGAGGUGCACGGAACUUCCAGUGGAGCGGUGAAAUGUGUUGAUAUUGGAAGGAACACCAGAGGCGUAAGCGGUGCACGUGGGGCUGGGUCUGACGCUGAGGCACGAAAGCCAGGGGAGCGAACGGGAUUAGAUACCCCGGUAGUCCUGGCCGUAAACGAUGAGUGC